GAAAACGUCUUUUGUACGGCGUUAGAAAAGCGUUAUGUUGCUGUAGAAUGGAAGAAACAGUGGGAAGUGGAAAGGUCUACUAAUGUUGUUGAUGCUCGCGGGAAAAUCAAACAACGUCAAGGUGGAUCAUCAGGUGAUGAUGGUUUACUCAUUGAUAAUAAAGGGAAAAGUGUACACAUAGUUGAACCGUGUAUCAACCGCGUACUCAGAGAUGCUAAGAGAAAAAGUGUAUUAUUAGCUGAACUCUCCAUCGACAACAGAGUUGUUGAUGGUAAGAGAAAGUUGCAUGCAACUGAUAUUUGUCAAUCACCGAAGGAGAAUACGAAGGCAAAGAAAACC